rnacentral:misc_RNA from 1 species
ACAUCACACGCACACACACGCAAACACCGCCCCAGAAGUCGGAUCGACGGAGUCGAAUAUGCGGACCGGCUCGAUGGCCGCGGUGUGCCCCACUUUCCCCUUCUUUUCGCUCCUCUUACAAGCCGACACUUGCAACGAGACGGAAGCCGUCCCCCACCUGCUCAUACGCGCGUGCGCAGCCGCUCAGCGGCUCGCACAACGUGAACCUUAGUGUUCUCUCUCAUUUUCUUGAUGUGCAUUUUUUUAUUUGUGCUUUCACGCGUUUUAUCCCUCGCAUCGUUGCGUAACACUGUAAGCCGCGACAGCGCGCGCUUUACAGACAGAGAGCCAGGGCCAGCAUGAGAGAGAGAGGGUGCCUGACAGACUAGAGCUUAACGAUUCCUUGCGAAUUUUUGUUUUGUGUGUGUGUGUAGAACCCCAUACUCGUGUUGUAUAGUCCUGCUGGAGUAGCGGCUCCCUCUCAUUCUUGCCCAUCCUCGUGGCUUUAACCCGUCGUUUGUGUCGCAUCGACCAUCACUGUCGGCCCUCCACCCCCGCCCUCUCUGGCCGUCUUUUCGGCUCCGAAAUUUGUGUAUUGCCCAAGUCGCUGCUUCGCGUGCGCGUUCGGGUGGGUGCAGGCGCGCACUUGGCGUUCUUCUUUUCUUGUUUUGAAGAAGUCAUUCUCUACAGAACCCUCACGGCUGCUGCCACAGUGUCAGCCUGUCGCCCCCCGCUCGAUACAGCUGCCGCCUUCCAGAGCCGGGGCGCCGUAGCAAGCACCGCCCCCGCUUCGGGCUCCUUCUCACGUGCCUUUCUGCCGGCAUGGCGACUAAGGAGAAUGCUGGUCACAAUAUGCCAGCGCAGCCGCUGCGCUACGGCUCUCUGAUCAGCCUCUAUAAGCAGUCACUGGACGGCUAUGUCGUGGCCACCUCAUCCACGGAGGCGCCGGUUGGGCUGCAGCGUGACACCCCCGAGACGCCGCUGCGCCACGAGCACACAGUUUUGCUUUUGCAGCACGGCGACCCUGUCGAGGCAAGUGUCAACCGGCAGCCGGACAGCGAUGUGGUGAAAUAUGGACAGACAAUCCGCCUCCUCCACUACGCACACCAGAAGUACCUCGGCUAUCAUGCCGAGCGCUACGCGGCGGGCAUGAAGGGCAACCUCCGCGUGCUGCUCGAGACGCGCCGGCGGGACGCCGAUGUGCACGAGCGCUGGCGCAUCAUGCCGCGGUAUCGCCUGCGCGUGGAGGGCGAGCCCGUCGCUGCGGGCGACGCCAUCAUUCUCCAGGCGGCCGAAACGGAGCGUUACCUGAACGUGGCCCCCAACGUGGACGAAGAGGCGGCUGAUAGCUGGUUCCUUGAGGUGAGCGUCGGGGAGAGCAUCCAGGGCUUCCUGAUACACCUGUACGACGGCGACUGCGCUCCUUCGAGGCGCGGGCCACCGCUGCGCUGCGGCGACUGCGUGACGCUGCUGCACACGGAGGAGCACAAGUACGUCCUUGCGGAUCCGGCAAAGCAGCAGUGCGUGCUGCAGACGCCGGACUCGAACCUGGCGGAGGGCAGCGAGCACACGGUCGCGUGGUACGCUGCGUCGAAGGAGGAGGUGAGCUACCUCUCGUUGUUUGUGAUCGAGGGUGCGAAUGCGAGCAAGGGCGGCGCGCUGCGGACGCGCGGUGCGGGCAACGUCUACCGGUUCAAAUCCCUUGCGUUGGGGCUGUACCUGCAAUGCGGCGAGGUUGCCGCGGUAGAGUCGGCGGAAGGUGGCGGCGCUGGCUUGGGGCCAGGCGUGCGGCAGGCGUCGUACGCGCUGUCGCUGACGCCGCAUGCGCGUUCUGCGGGGACGCUGUUUCAGUUGCACUGCGCAUCGUCCAACGCUGAGGAGUUCCUGGGCAACGGCGGGCGCGUGUUUCUGAGUUGCGUGAACAGUGCGAACCAGAAAGUUUGGGUCGUUGCUGGCGGGCCCGUGGCGGCUGAGGGGGAGGACGUGCGUCACUCGGAGGUGACGAUCGCGUCGCUUGCGCACGGUGCGAGGACGUACGGGGUCGUGACGCUGCUUGGGCGCGGGCUCAAGUCGAUGCGCGACGGGCUGGAGAUUCGGCGGCUGCAGCCGAUCGCACUGGAGGAGCUGCACAUGAUCCGCAGACUGCUGCCGCCGCUGCAGCGGUACGUGCGUGAAAUGGCGUGCGGCGUGGGUAGCCCGCACCACGUGCGGCAGGCGCGGGAGAAGGUGCAGCAGCUGCAUCAGCUGUGCCACCGCCCUGCGGAUCCCGACGCGGAGAACGUUUCCGAGGAGCUGAUGAAUGCGGGCAGCGCUUGCGGCGGCCACGGCGCCGUGCUGAACCCGGAGUGGCAGAGCAAGGUUUUUCAGCAGGGCGUUGGCGAGCUUGCGCUGCUUGUUGUGCGCGCGUCGCUGCAGUGCCCGCACGUGCAUGCGGAGAAGCUUGGGUCGCUGGGCAUGGUGUACCCGCAGGCCGGCUGCAGUAAUGGUGCCGACAGUGUUGCGGCAGCGAGUAGUUUUGGCGCUGCGGCUGGCGGUGCUGACGUGGCAAGUGCUCCGUCCGCUGCGUCGGCAUCGGGGGGCUCGUCGUUGUUUGUGCCGAUGCGGUACAGCGAGCUGGGCGACCUUGUGGACGCGUGCUUCGAGCUUGUGGGGGUGCUUUUGUACAACCGCCCUCGGUACGCGGCGGCGCUGCAGAGUUACGCGGACUUCGUGAUGGAGUGCACGCGCUACGUGCCGUCUGCGCUGCGGUGCGUUGCUGCGUUCUACAAGGACAACCCUGCGCUGGUGGAGCUGCCGAUGGCGCGGCACCGGCUGGAAUUCUUCUUGGAGAUGCUGGCGAGCCGCCGCCACAACCCGGAUGUCUUGCACAUCCUGCGGCGAUUCGCGUGCUGCGGUGGCGAGGGCAUGGUGGAGGCGCAGCGCGUGAUUCUCGACUGCUUCACGCAGAACCGCGAGAUGGCGCAGCGGGUUCUUUGCCCGAUGAAGUGGAUGCCGCUGCCUGAAGGGCUUGAGACAACACGUAUCGCGCAGAUGCCACGGGCGGAGGAGACAUCAAGCGCACUGGCCGCUGCAGGGAAGGAACGGAAGGGACUGAUGGCGGAGGGUGGGCCGACUUGUGUGGAGUUCGCGGAUACGUUAUGCCAGCUCAGCGCUGCGCUCUUCACCGACACGCGAGAGGCGUCCGUGGCUGGGACCGUGCCUGCGGGCGAGUGUGACGCGUCCAUCGGAGCCGCGUCGAGGCAGGCGCCACUGUCGCCAGCGUCGACUCUCCCCCCUUGCAGCCCAGCGGCAGCGGCACCGGAGCUGAGCACCUCUGUGAGGGCAGUGCGAGAGGUGCCCAUGGUGGGUAUCCCAAACUCGCUCUUCGAGGAGCCCGAGUUCAGCGACUCGGCUUCGUUGGCCGCGACGACGCAAUACCGCGCGAAAGACAACCCGCUCGGCCAGCUUCUGCAGAAGGCCGCCGAUGCCCCGGACGUGAACGGGACCACGUACUUCCCGCUGGAGGGGCUGCUGGCUGUGAUGCCGGACUGGCCGGAAGUGAGGGAUACGCUGGUGCCGUACCUUGCGGCGCAGAUCCACCUGCUUGCUGCGCUCGCGUACGGGGAGGGCCACGCGCGGAGCCGGCCGUUCAUCUUUGAGUGGGUGCCGCGCGCCGUGCUUGCUGAGUCGCUGCAGAGCGAGGCGCUGCCGAGGCGCCUGCACGGCGCGCUGCUGGAGCUUUUUGCGAAGGUGAUGGUGGACGUGGACGGUGCGCUGAACAUCCGGGAGCAAAUACAGAACAUCCGGUGCGUUGUAUCGUUGCCGGGCGGCGGCUGCGGUGCUGCUGGUGCUACUCGUGCCGCUGUGUCGUCGUCGUGCCAGAUGGCAAUGAGCAAGGUGCCGCAGGAGCUUGUGGCGGCGAAGCGUUUUGUGGUGCGGUACAUGAAGGCAACGUUGAUGAGCGACGACGACAGCGUUGCUGCGGAGUACCUUGCGGCGCUGAACCUUCUGGACGCGCUUGUGAACGCUGGCGCAUUCCAGUUGAGCGAGUACGAGACGCUGAUGCGACUGGUGGUGCGGUGCGUGGACCCGUCGUGCGAUGAACAGCGAACAUACCUGGAGAUGCAGCCCGUCCACGACUGUAAAUCCCGUGCGCUGCAGUUGAUGAACCUGCUGAUCGAUGUGCUCCUCGUGCGGGAGGCGCUGUGGCUGGUGGACUGCUUCCGGGUGUGGAGGCGGCCGACGCGCUUCAGCCAGCUCGCGCACAUCAACUUUGCCGCCGCGUUGCAGCAGCGGAGCACGGAGAAAUGGAGAGUCGUGGAUGGGGGCGGCGACGGAGCCGAUGAGGAGCCGGGCCGUCGCGCGGACGUUGCGUGUGAUUGCGACCUUGAUGGCGUGUACAAGGAGGAGGAGCGCGAGCCGCGCGAGGAGCUGAUACCCAUCGCCGAGGCGUUCACUGCACUGAUGGAACUGGCAAACUGCAGUCGCAGCUCGAUGCUUCAGCGCCAGGUCAUCUGCGUCUUCUUCCGCGCCACCAACUUUCUUGAAGAGCUAUACGCCACGGCGAGCCGUGUACAGCUGCUUACGUCGGAGGACAGCAUCGGCUUCUACGCGGCCGUCAACCGCACUUCGAUCGCGGUAAAGCAGCUGGCGAAGGCGUCGUUCCGCCGCUCCAACACGAUCGCGCUGGCCAACAGCACGCUCGAUGCGCUGGACGAUCUUCUCUCAAAGCCGACGUCCGGGACCGUCGCCGAGAAGCUCUCGAUGAUGCAGCAAGUCGGUUUGCCCCUGCAGCUGAUUCGGAUGCUGGAGCGCGUGUCGGUGCCUGUCAGUGAGGCGAGCCGCCAGCUCGUCUUUAAGGCAGUCGCUGUUCUGCAGACGAUGGCGCAGAGUCCCGGCAUCCGCGAUGAGCUGCGAGAGGCCGUCGUGGGCGCGGCGCCGCUGGCGUAUCAGAACACCAACUACAUCUCGCUGCUGCGGACGCUUUUCGUGGCCGAGGAUGAUGAUUGCACCGAAAUGCCGACGCAGAUCCUCGCUGAUGUCGUCAGGUGCCUGUACAGGGAGCAUGCCACGUUGACCGCCAUCGAGUUUCUGAGUGAUUGGGUGGCGGCGAAGCGCUCAUCCGUGCACGUGAUGGCGCAGCGGCAGCAGCAGGUGUGGCGUGCGAUUGUGUCGGACCAGCAGGCGGAGCGGUGCAUCCAGCUGCGGCACGGCUGGUGCAGCAACCAGGGCCGUGAGCUGCGGGAGCGGCUUCUGACGUCGGACGACUGCUACGCGGCGAAGGGGCGCACGCGCACACACCUGGAUCUGUGCCGACUGCUGUAUCUUGUAUCGAACAAGAGCGAGUUUGUGAAAGCGGAGACGGUGCGGCAGGAGGUUUUCGGGCAGAACAGCCUGGACGCGCUGCUGCAGGUGACGACGGACGUGCUCGUGCCGGUGUACUUCCGCUACCCGUACGUGCAACUGCUGCAGGCGCUUGUGCUUGACGACGCGUGUGCUGUGCCGUCGCUGCUUGCGCACCGCGACUUCCCUGACUUUGUGCGACUGUGCAUGAUGGACGCUGCGCGGUACCUGCAGCUGCUUGGCGGGCGGUGCGCGCUCGACGAGGUGAGCGAGGAGCUGGAGCGGCGCGAGGGCGCCACGCUGUGGUGCGUGCCGAAGAACGAGGCCGAGGAGGAGAUGGAGGAGGCGCUGUUUGGUGCUGGCAUGUACGAAGACUUCUUCUUCGGCCCCCUGUGCGCGUGCACGGAGCGUGUGUGCGCGCGGUAUCGCGGCGCCAUCUCGCAACUCUCGAACCGCGUCCGCUCCCAGCUUAGCGUGGUGGUGAACGAGCUCGUGGAUGCCAUGUGCGAUGUGCUGCAGUUCUUCUUCAACAUGGAGGAUGGCAUCCUCAGAGGCGCGCCUCACAGCGCGACGGGGCUACCCAGCGCAACAACUGCCCCGUUUCCGGAGGCGCAGUGGUCGCUCGCUCACUUCACUGCAUUGCGUCAGUGCCUGCGAGUGGCGAAGGACAACGGCUUCAGCGGCACUGCCCGGUGGCGUGGCGACCCUUUCAGCAGGCUGUACGCACGCCUGGCCGCGUAUGUGGGAGCGGCGGCAAAGCCGCCCAAUCGUGCAACAGCUGCCGUGAGCGGCGAGAGCUCCGCCGUAGUGACGCCGGGGGUCGUCUUGAAGGGUGGUGACAGCUGCGCGUGGAACAGCCCCAUCGAGGCAGGUGGGGGCGCUCACGUGCUGGCGAGCAAGUGGAUGGAUUACCUUCGCUCCGUUCUUGCAGACGACGCACGGAUGGCGGAGAAGAAUCAGCUGAUAUCUGGUGCCGGCAUCCUGCUGCGCUGCGGCGCGCGCGGUGCCACGUUCAUGCGCACCCUCUUCACUGUGCUGCCGUCGCUGCAGCACCCCAACGUCGUGCACACCCUGACGCUGAUCCGGCAGAUGGUGGUGCUGAUGCCGAACAACCCGUACGAUGACAGCGUGCUGCUGCCGCUUGAGGAGCAGGAGUCUGACGUGCCGCACAUCACCGUGACGACUCCCGUGCAGUCGCGGCAGACGUUUCUGGCGCGGUGGGCCGGCGACGAGUCGCUCGAGAUGCCGCUGCCGCUGUUGGCGCUUGUGGGCGAGUUUGUCGGGUGCGACAAGGCGGACGCGCAGCGCGCUGCGCUGCUGGCGGGGUGCACGCUGCUGCAGCAGGGCCACCGCGGGAUGCAGGAGUGCUACCGGGCUUUCUGCCGGCGCAGCGCGAACGACCGCCUGCUGUGCGUGCUGCGCCACCACUUCCUCGACUUCAAGGACAGGCUCCGGACGUACCACCACGCACUGUCGAGCGGGAGCAGCCCGUCCGAGGCGAGGCACUACUUGACGCAGAUGUCGAACUGCCGCCUGGAGCUGAAGCUGCUGCAGCUGCUGUGCUCUGGCCAGUAUGCACCGCUGCAGACGUACCUUGUCUCACAGCCAGAGAGCAACAUCUCCGUGAACGUUGUGGAGGCGCUCGUGGAGCUGCUGUCGAUGGCACCGAAGACGGCGAACGAGGUGACGUCGGACUUCAUGGUGCAGCUGCUUUCGACGAUCGCGGAGGCGCUACAGGGCCCGUGCGCCGCGAAUCAGGACAUGUUCGUGGCGUACAACGCGGCGGACUACUUGACCUUGCUGCUGUCGAAGUUCGACGCCUCUGCGCACGAGGAUGCGGCGCUCACGGCGGUGGAGGUGGUGCUGCCGGCGGUUUCGUGGCAUGAGGCCGUGCUUGGUGGAGGGCGCGAAGGGACGUCUCCGACUGCCACCUUGGAGGAGAGGCGGCGUCGCUGCUGCAGCUUACUGCAGACCAUGGCCUUGUCGACGCUGCUGGCGAUGAUUGAGGGUCGUGACGACUCGCGGUUAGCCUCGAAGCUGGUGUCUACUGUGGACCUGUCCUUACUCACCACGGCUAUGGAUCGCAGUGCCGCUAGCUACGAAGCGAGACACGGCCCCGUAGAGCGGAAGCAGUACAAUGGCCUCUCACGAGGCGACAUUUCGGAGUCCGUUGCAGCCUUGCGCCGCUACUUUCGCGACUACCUGCACAAUGAUUACCCGACGAGCCGCGAGGAGCUACAAGACGAGCUGGCGCUGGCAGUGAGCAUCUACGCGUUCUUUAGAGCGUGCCACGACAUGCACUUCUUGACGGCAACACGGCUGCGAUGCGGCAGCGGCGGCGGCGUCGACGCGGAGGACUUCGCCGGGGCGUUGGAUGAGUUAGUGGACAAGAAGGGCCAGAGCAUUCGGCAGGUGCUGCGCAGAAGUAAGUACUACCGCCAGGUGUCGACGAAGCUGGCGAAGAUCGAGAUUGUGCGAGACGGUCGUCUGGAGCGCGUGUACUUCCGCGCGCUCAACUCGGCGGUGGACAACCUCUUUGAGUUCCGCCGCACGGCCCUGAUCCAGACGGCGGUGCGCACCAGCGACAACGAGCGCAUUCAGCACUUCUUCAACGAGACAUCGGACGUGAUUAUGGAGAUGAGCUGGUACAACAGCAUGCGCCGCUUCUGUGCUGCGUACCUGCUGAACUUCUUCCUCCGUGAGAUCAACGCAUUGGGCUUGUUGAUUGUCUUCAGCAUCAACCUUGUCAUGGUGAUCGGCAUUCGUGCGCCGACUUCUCCGUACAGCUCCGGGACGCCGGAGGGCAUCGACCGCGCCUUGGUCGGCCUCGGCAUUGUCGAUAUGUGCGUGCAAGGCGUUCUUCUGACCCAGGCCCUCUUGGGCCCGGCCGUGGUGAACUACAAGAUCGGCUGGCGGACGUGGUAUUCGCGACGACAAGAGGAGCUGACGAGGAUGAGCGACGCCGACAUCGCCGUGGAUCGGGCUGAUGCGCUGCUGCGUGGCAAGCAGCGCCUGAUGCCGACGUGGUACGAGCGGGUUUGGUUGAGUGGGUACUACGCCUUUUGGCACGCUGGCUUUCUUCCGCACUUCUUUUUCUGCUUCGUGAGUGUCAUGGGCUUCGCGCAACAUCGAAUUUGGUAUGCGCUGCAGAUGAUGCAGAUCACCAUCAACAGCCCCAUUUUGGCCAACCUGUUCGAGGCACUGCGGGCCAACCUCAAGCUGCUCGUGCUGACGUAUGCCCUUCUGCUGACGUUUGUGUUGGUUGGCGCCAACAUCAGCUACUAUAACUUCUCUCAGCUGUUCGAUCCACUGGGCGCGCGCUUAAACGGCUUCAACUGCUACACCCUGUCGCAGUGCUUUCUCGUGCACGUCGACACGCUGCGCAGCGGUGGAGGCAUUGGCGAUGUCACUAACUGGCCUGUGUUCUACUCCAAGGACGGCUACGCGUACUGGGUGAUGUUCUACCGUAUUGCGUACUACCUCGUCGUCGGCCUGGUCGGCGCGAACCUGUUCCUCGGUGUCAUCAUCGACAGCCUCACGCAGCACCGCACCCAUCAGCAGCUCAUCCAGGCGGACCAGGAGAAGAAGUGCUUCAUUUGCGGCAUUGAGCGCAACGAGUUCGACAUAGUGCGUCCCGGCGCGUACAGUACACAUGUCGCGGAGGAGCACAACAUGUGGCAGUACAUCUUCUUUCUGCACUACCUCUCCAAAAAGGACGCAAACUCGCACACGGGGCAGGAGGCGUACGUGCAGCAGCUGAUCGCGCAACAGGACCUGUCCUUCUAUCCGAUCGGACAUUCUCUGACGCUGCGCUUCAAGGACCGCGGCGCAGUGGAUGCGCAGAUGACCGAAGGCGGCAUUCCCAUCGGCGGCGAGGAGGAGGCUGAAGACGGUGUUCCGCAGGUGGUCGCGAUGGCUACGGAGGCUGGCGGUGGCGAUGAUGCCGAUGGAAAGGGGGCGGGCGGUCAUGGCAAGAACGGUGGCGGAGCCCUCGACGGAGCAACGGCUCACCUUAUCUCCAGCCUGGUCGAGGCAGCGCUUAAAGAGGGCCUCGAGCCACUUCGGCGUAGCAUAGAGAAAACAAACGAGCGCAUCGAAGAGAUGCGCGCGAACCUGCAGCACUGACUUCAAGAAGGCUUCUCCGUGUCGCGCAGCGCCGGCUGAUGUAGCGACGGCGUCUGCCACCACACCCGCCGCCUUCCUUCUAUCGGCGAAGGCGAUGCGGCAGAGUAUGUCGCGAGCAGCGCCUCGGAAGCUGGCAGCUCCGCAGAUUUCUUGUCCUCUUCAUAAGCGUCCCCGCGGGAUGAAGAGGACAUGCUAAGCUGCCCGGUGUGGAGGCGGCCGGAGCGCUUCCUUGCGCAAACCUGCGGCGCCAGACUCCCUUUCGCGCCCCUUCUACUCCCGCCUUGAGCCACGAGUGCACACUUGCGUCUGCGUCUGCGUUAGAAAGCGUGCACUCUCGAUAUGCGGUGCUCUUGUUUCGUGGCUCCUCCUCCUUCUCCGUUGCUGCUGCUGCUUCGCCCUGUGUGGCGUGCGCGCUGACGGGCGGUGCUGUGCAUCUCUCCGGUCGCUCCUGUUCCCAAAGGCGCACUUUUCUCUGUGCGCCACAACACACACACAAACCCACACAAACACACACGGAAAGUGGAAAGGCCGACACAGCGCAGCGGGCCGCAUCUGCGCUUGUGGAGGCGUGAGUCGCGGCUUCGGCUAGCGGCUCUCCUCACCCCCACCGUCUCAUUGCUCCGGGACUCCACCUCUUCCUCGGCUUGGCUCUCCCGUUUCCACGCGUGCGUGCAUGGAGGGGGCCUGCUGCCGCGGCGCGCGCAUUGAUCCCGUGGGCGGUGGGCGGAUAUGAUGGCGCCUGCGGUGAUCAGGUGCGCUCUCUGCUUCGGAAAGGUGUUACUCCCUACCCCAUGCUCGUCAUCACCGCUUGCCCUUUGCGUUUCGUAUUGGCUCGCUGCCUGCGCCCCUCACGGGGUCUGCCGGCACCGACACUCCUUCCCGUACUCUUCCGGCUACGCUCAG